GAGACAUUACCUGGUUAUAACCUGGUUCUAACGUGGUUAUAUCCUGAGACAUAACCUGGUUAUAACCUGGUUUUAACCUGAGACAUUACCUGGUUAUAACGUGGUUCUAACGUGGUUAUAACCUGAGACAUUACCUGGUUAUAACCUGGUUAUAACCUGAGACAUUACCUGGUUAUAACCUGGUUAUAACCUGGUUAUAACCUGGUUAUAACCUGGUUAUAACCUGAGACAUUACCUGGUUAUAACGUGGUUAUAACGUGGUUAUAACCUGGUUAUAACCUGAGACAUUACCUGGUUAUAUCCUGAGACAUUACCUGGUAAUAACCUGGUAAUAACCUGAGACAUUACCUGGUUAUAACGUGGUUAUAAACCACGUUAUAACCAGGUAAUGUCUCAGGUUAUAACGAGGUAAUAACCUGGUUAUAACCAGGUUAUAACCAGGUUAUUACCAUUUAAU